rnacentral:rRNA from 1 species
UUUGAUCCUGGCUCAGAUUGAACGCUGGCGGCAGGCUUAACACAUGCAAGUCGAGCGGUAACAGGAGAAGCUUGCUUCUCGCUGACGAGCGGCGGACGGGUGAGUAAUACUUAGGAAUCUGCCCAGUAGUGGGGGAUAGCUCGGGGAAACUCGAAUUAAUACCGCAUACACCCUACGGGGAAAAGGGGGCGCUUGCGCUCUCGCUAUUGGAUGAGCCUAAGUCGGAUUAGCUAGUUGGUGGGGUAAAGGCCUACCAAGGCGACGAUCUGUAGCUGGUCUGAGAGGAUGAUCAGCCACACCGGGACUGAGACACGGCCCGGACUCCUACGGGAGGCAGCAGUGGGGAAUAUUGGACAAUGGGGGCAACCCUGAUCCAGCCAUGCCGCGUGUGUGAAGAAGGCCUUUUGGUUGUAAAGCACUUUAAGCAGUGAAGAAGACCUAACGGUUAAUACCCGUUAGCGAUGACAUUAGCUGCAGAAUAAGCACCGGCUAACUCUGUGCCAGCAGCCGCGGUAAUACAGAGGGUGCAAGCGUUAAUCGGAAUUACUGGGCGUAAAGCGAGCGUAGGUGGCUUGAUAAGUCAGAUGUGAAAUCCCCGGGCUUAACCUGGGAACUGCAUCUGAUACUGUUGGGCUAGAGUAGGUGAGAGGGAGGUAGAAUUUCAGGUGUAGCGGUGAAAUGCGUAGAGAUCUGAAGGAAUACCGAUGGCGAAGGCAGCCUCCUGGCAUCAUACUGACACUGAGGUUCGAAAGCGUGGGUAGCAAAC